UUAACAGGCCUUUAAGUCACCUUCAUUGAACGAGGCAGAUUAAAGCGGUAGAGCUGGUUACGCUGUCAUGAGAUACCCGAGAAUUUUGUAAAACAACAACUGUUCAAGUCACCUUUAUUGAACGAUCACCUUCAUUAACCUUUAUGGAGCAGUGUUGACAUGGAGCAGUGUUGACAUGCGGCAACAAAAUAGCGAUGCAAUGCAUACAUAGUCUUGUCUGUUUUGUUGAUUAAGUCAGUUGGCCAAGCUGUUUUUACCUUUAUGUUGUAGCAAGGACGAAAUGAAUUCUUUGAAGUACAUUAUGCUUUUUUUGGCAUUUGUCCUCUGUGCGAAAACAUCGCCUGUCGAUUUCUUUCAAGAUGUCGAAAAACCAAUUAUUUGACCAAGUAAUUGUUCAACCCUUUCUGCAUUUGUGAACGCUCUGGCUUAGAUUGCAUGUCAUGUGACUGUGCUCACAAGCCUCGCAUCAAAGAGUCUUGUCUGUUUUGUUGAUUAAGUCAGUUGGCCAAGCUGUUUUUACCUUUAUGUUGUAGCAAGGACGAAAUGAAUUCUUUGAAGUACAUUAUGCUUUUUUUGGCAUUUGUCCUCUGUGCGAAAACAUCGCCUGUCGAUUUCUUUCAAGAUGUCGAAAAACCAAGUAAAACAUUAAUGAGAUGCACGUGUGCUAAUGGAAAAACUGGUGUUCAACGAUUUCUUCAUUGCUUUGCUGGUGAGAGAGACUGUGAUAUGGUACUUUUCACAAGUUUUAGAUGCUGCAUCAGAUAAUAAUUCUACCAUAAACAAUACAAUAGAUUUUUAUGAAACUGAAUUUGAAUAUUAUUUACUGAUCGGGUAAAAAUUAAAUUAUAACUAUGAUAUAGUUUUUGAAUUCUAAAAA